UCUUACUCUCACUGUUCCUCCAACUGGCUAGAUGCCUGGAAGUAAGUCAUGGCAUAUCCCCUGUCUCCGUGGCUUGUAGGUUUUGAUAGCCUUUCAGUAGGUGUGUCAGUAAGACCAGAGAAAAGAUUUGUCACUGCAAUUCCUUUGGCUUCCCUUGGGAUCUCUUUCUUUCACCCAGGGCUGGUCCAGGUGGGCUGGCAUCUGGGUGGAGGCUGGAUGCAUGCCCUGACAGCCCUCCAUGAUCUGUGAGCCAAGCAAAGUCUGCCUGCUGCCAGAGUGGGACUGUGCCUGAGAUCUGGCAACACCCGGCCAGCAUGUCCUAUCAAGGCUGAACUAAAAAUAGGUCUUAUGCAUAGAGCCUAGAAAAACCAGCAGCCCAGCACACAGAGGUUGGCUAAUCAUCAGAUCGAACCAAGCUGCCACCACCACUCUAGGUACCAGCACCAUACGGGUGUCACCUCCAUCUGACACAGGUAGAACAACUGAGCAAACGUUCUCAUGGUUUACCGAUUUUCCCAUCUCUAAUUCCUGCACAGCAACCUUCCCAUAACUGAGUCUGCACAGAACAUGAAUUCCGGGCCUGUUCUUUUCUCUCUCUACACAGUUGCUGUCAGCUCCACUUAAGAUUCUUUCUUUAUACCACCCGUGUUCCUCCCAGCAUCUUUGUGAAAGGGGACUAGAGGAUGAGCACAUAUGAAAUGUUUAAAUAGUAGGAGUCACAGAAGACCUUGACACAGGCAUGAGUCUACAGUGGGGACCCAGGGUGAAGAGCAGAAUGAAAAUGAGACCCAGGUUCCCUGUCUGCCCAGCCAAUCUCCAGAACUUCAGGGCCAGUCCCCAGAGGCAGACUGGCUGUUCCCAACAGUGCUUAGGGAACAACAUGCCCCCGCCUUGCCCCUAGGCUACUGCCAGCAUUUGGAUAGUUUCCCCUUUGGUUGUUUAUGACUGGAGACAGCACAGCUGUAAACAUCCAACAUCUGAACAUAGAUGGCCGCUUUAUUUUGGAUUAUUUUUUUUCCUUGAGCUCACAUCCUCCAAGUAGAAUUACUGGGUCAAAAAGUACAGACAGUAUUACAGCUCAAGGAAAGCUAGAGUCUUUGAGCCUGCCAGGAGGAGGGACUUCCCAUUUUCCCAGAGGGCUUCAGCGGCUGGGGAUGCUGGUGUUAAGUCUGGAGGGGAAGAAGAGCCCUGGGCUGAAUCCUCAGAUCAACGAUUGAUACAACUGUGGCUGGCAGGAAGUUACACCAGUCUUAGGCAUCCCAGCACCCAUGAAUGACUAUCCCAGCUCUUACUGAAGUGUUGCCUGCAUCUGGGUAUGGAAAUACAGCAAAGAAGCAUACUUGGCUACAAGAUCAUUACUUUCCAGUUGGGCUCUUAUGAACUGCCUUCACCUCCCUAAAGCCUGCAGUUGGUGACCCUCCUCUGAUCCUUGACAGCUUUUUCUGGGCCCCCCAAAAUGCCGGCCCUGAACCAAGAAUGAACUCAGAUAAGUGAAUAAGCUCCAGGAAGCUUAGCGUCCCUCACAGGGUGGCUCUAAUAAAUUCCAGAAAACAAAAAGCAGGUGUUGGCCAUCUUUCUCCUGCCCAAAGAGUUAUUUACACAAGUUUCCACAGCAAUCCGCUUCAUCGUUUGACAUGCCUAUUACACGGUUCUCUUUGGGGAAAGGUCUGGAGUUAGUUAGCUCGGUGGAUUAGAGAGCAAGUCCCUCAAGGCCAAGGGCAAUGAAAGCCUUUUCCUUCUCUCCACUCCCCCAUUCAUUCACAGUGCCUGUGCCCUGCCAGGUCGUCCGUCCUGUUAGAGAAUGAGCCCAGACAAUGCUCCUCACUCCUCUCUUCUGAAGGCAGCCAAAGCGCAGAUAGAAGAAGGUCAGUAGUAUUGGUCCCACUAAACAAUGGAUGGAAUUGAAUUCCUCAAAGAGUAAGAGGCCCUCAAUGUUCUCGGCACAUCCAAGGGGCCGAACUGCUUUCUGGACCUCUUCAAAGCUGAACAUUCUCAAUACCAGAAGUCCGUGACACAAAGAAGAACAAACAUGCUAUGACUUCUCCAGCUAGGAUCCUGUCAUGACUUUGAGCUAUGUGGGACUCAUGGUGGUGAUUGCUCCAACUUCGGACACAGUUUGUAAUUUACCUGUAAGGUUCUCCUGAAAUUGCUGACACUCUUGACGAUACCUUC